rnacentral:rRNA from 1 species
AGAGUUUGAUCCUAGCUCAGGACGAACGCUGGCGGCGUGGAUAAGGCAUGCAAGUCAAAUGGGUUUGACGCAAGUCAGACCAGUGGCAAACGGGGUAGUAACACGUGGGUACGUACCUCGGAGACGGGUAUAACCAGCCGAAAGGUUGGAUAAUCCCCGAUAGUCCCGAAAGGGUAAGUCGUAAGACGCUCCGAGAACGGCCUGCGGGCUAUCAGCUAGUUGGUAGGGUAACGGCCUACCAAGGCUAUGACGGCUAGGGGGGGUGAGAGCCCGAUCCCCACCAAUGGUACUGCGACACGGACCAUACACCUACGGGUGGCAGCAGCCGAGAAUAUUCGACAAUGGGCGAAAGCCUGAUCGAGCGACGCCGCGUGCAGGAUGAAGUUCUUCGGGACGUAAACUGCUUUUGUAGGGGAAGAACGCAAGUGACUGUACCCUACGAAUAAGGACCUGCAAAUCUCGUGCCAGCAGCCGCGGUAAUACGAGAGGUCCAAGCGUUGUCCGGAUUAACUGGGCGUAAAGGGUGUGUAGGGGGUCGUGUUAGUCCUGCUUUAAAUCUCUGGGCCCAACCCAGAGGCCGGGUAGGAUGCGGUACGGCUGGAGGGUGCGAGAGGCGAGUGGAACUCACGGUGUAGGAGUGAAAUCCGUUGAAAUCGUGGGGAACACCAAAAGCGAAGCCAACUCGUUGGCGCAUACCUGACCCUGAAACACGAAAGCGUGGGGAUCAAAAAGGAUUAGAUACCCUUGUAGUCCACGCCCUAAACGAUGAUGACUAGCUAUCGGAAGUAUCGACCCUUUCGGUGGCGAAGCUAACGCGUUAAGUCAUCCGCCUGGGAAGUACGGCCGCAAGGCUAAAACUCAAAGGAAUAGACGGGGACUCGCACAAGCGGUGGAGCAUGUGGUUUAAUUCGAUGUUAAACGAAGAACCUCACCAGGGCUUGAAACCACGACGACGGUCUGGGGAAACCUAGACUUUCUCACAAGGACGGCGUGGCAGGUGCUGCAUGGUUGUCGUCAGUUCGUGUUGUGAAAUGUUCCCUUCAGUGGGGCAACGGACGCAACCCCUGUUGCCUGUUACAUGUGUCAGGCGAGACUGCCCAGCUCAGCUGGGAGGAAGGAGGGGAUGACGCCAAAUCAGCAUGGCCCUUUGAUGCCCUGGGCUACACACGUGCUACAAUGGAGCGCACAAUGGGUCGCGAAGCCGCGAGGCGGAGCAAAUCCCUAAAAACGCUCCUCAGUUCGGAUUGGAGUCUGCAACUCGACUCCAUGAAGUUGGAAUCGCUAGUAAUCGCAGGUCAGCUAUACUGCGGUGAAUACGUUCUCGAGUCUUGUACUCACCGCCCGUCACUUCAAGGAAGCCGGGAGUACCCGAAAACUCGCUUCGGCGGGGCUAAGGUAAGCUCGGUGACAGGGAAGAAGUCGUAACAAGGCA